AACGAACGCUGGCGGCAUGCUUUACACAUGCAAGUCGAACGGCAGCGCGGACUUCGGUCUGGCGGCGAGUGGCGAACGGGUGAGUAAUAUAUCGGAACGUACCCAAGAGUGGGGGAUAACGUAGCGAAAGUUACGCUAAUACCGCAUACGAUCUAAGGAUGAAAGCAGGGGAUCGCAAGACCUUGUGCUCCUGGAGCGGCCGAUAUCUGAUUAGCUAGUUGGUGAGGUAAAGGCUCACCAAGGCAACGAUCAGUAGCUGGUCUGAGAGGACGACCAGCCACACUGGAACUGAGACACGGUCCAGACUCCUACGGAGGCAGCAGUGGGGAAUAUUGGACAAUGGGCGAAAGCCUGAUCCAGCCAUGCCGCGUGUGUGAAGAAGGCCUCGG
rnacentral:rRNA from 1 species